AUUGAACGCUGGCGGCAGGCCUAACACAUGCAAGUCGAGCGGAUGACGGGAGCUUGCUCCUUGAUUCAGCGGCGGACGGGUGAGUAAUGCCUAGGAAUCUGCCUGGUAGUGGGGGACAACGUUUCGAAAGGAACGCUAAUACCGCAUACGUCCUACGGGAGAAAGCAGGGGACCUUCGGGCCUUGCGCUAUCAGAUGAGCCUAGGUCGGAUUAGCUAGUUGGUGGGGUAAUGGCUCACCAAGGCGACGAUCCGUAACUGGUCUGAGAGGAUGAUCAGUCACACUGGAACUGAGACACGGUCCAGACUCCUACGGGAGGCAGCAGUGGGGGAUAUUGGACAAUGGGCGAAAGCCUGAUCCAGCCAUGCCGCGUGUGUGAAGAAGGUCUUCGGAUUGUAAAGCACUCUAAGUUGGGAGGAAGGGCAGUAAGUUAAUACCUUGCUGUUUUGACGUUACCGACAGAAUAAGCACCGGCUAACUCUGUGCCAGCCGCCGCAGUAAGAC
rnacentral:rRNA from 1 species